UGAGAUGACUUUUUUUCACUCGGCGGCACC
rnacentral:piRNA from 1 species